rnacentral:rRNA from 1 species
UUUGGCGGAGCCAUCCUUGGGAUACCACCCUUGUAGUACUGGGACUCUAACCAUAGGCCAUGAAUCUGGUCUUGGGACACUGUCAGGUGGGCAGUUUGACUGGGGCGGUCGCCUCCCAAAAGGGAACGGAGGCGCUCAAAGGUUCUCUCAGUACGGUCGGAAAUCGUACGGAGAGUGUAAAGGCAAAAGAGAGCUUGAUUGCAAGACAUACAGGUCGAGCAAGGAUGAAAAUCGGACUUA